GAGCAUAUUCAGAUUAGCCAUGCAAGUCUAAGUACGAGCUCCCGUACAGUGAAACUGCGAAUGGCUCAUUAAAUCAGUUAUGGUUCAUUUGAUCGUACGUGUUACUUGGAUAACUGUGGAAAUGCUAGAGCUAAUACAUGCAUAAAGCGCCGACCUCGCGGGAGGCGUGCUUUUAUCAGACCAAAAACCGACCGGGCUUCGGCUCGUCGCUUUGGUGACUCUGGAUAACUUCGCGGAUCGCACGGUCGAGCACCGGCGACGGAUCAUUCAAGUGUCUGCCCUAUCAACUUUCGUCGGUAGGGUAUCGGCCUACCGAGGUUCUUACGGGUAACGGGGAAUCAGGGUUCGAUUCCGGAGAGGGAGCCUGAGAAACGGCUACCACAUCCAAGGAAGGCAGCAGGCGCGCAAAUUACCCAUUCCCGACGCGGGGAGGUAGUGACGAAAAAUAACAAUACAGCCCCUCUCAACGAGGCCCUGUAAUUGGAAUGAGUACACUUUAAAACCUUUAACGAGUAUCCAUUGGAGGGCAAGUCUGGUGCCAGCAGCCGCGGUAAUUCCAGCUCCAAAAGUGUAUAUUUAAGUUGCUGCGGUUAAAAAGCUCGUAGUUGGAUUUUGGGCGCAGGCGGCCGGUCCGUCGCAAGGCGUGCACUGGCCGUCCUGGCCUUACCUCCGGUUCCCCGCCGGUGCUCUUGACUGAAUUGUCGGCGGCGGCCGGGACGU
rnacentral:rRNA from 1 species